GGAGCCCCCAGGGUGUGGAGGGGGUGGGCUGCUGCAUGUGCAGAGGGCUGACGGCUAAGGGCUCCGUGGCCUCCUGAAAGAGGGAUCAGUGCCAGGCCUCGGCUCUCCCUGCUGGCUGAGCAGAUGCGGAGGCGCGGAUGAUCCCCAAAGCACAGGUUACACCGGAAGGACCAAGGUGAGGAGCCUGAGGCCAGCGGAGAGGCCGGGACGCCUGCCUGUGGAGAGCUCCAGAGCCAGCUCCAAGGUCGGAGCUCACCCUGCCCUCCCGGCUUCUCUCUGCUGCCUCUGCAUUUCUCCUGGAGACACGGGCUCCAUCCCCGGUCUGGGAAGACUGCACAUGCCUCGGAGCAACCAAGCCCCCGCAUGGCAACUCCUGAAGCCUGCACUCCUGGAGGCUGUGCUCUGGAACGAGAAGACGCUGUGGUGAGAGGCGCCCGCCCUGCAACUAGAGAGGAGCCCGAGAAGCAACCAAGACCCUGCACAGCCAAAAAUAGAUCCCUGGGCCCAGCAGAGUCUGCAGCAGGAUCUGGCAUGUAGCAGGGGCUUCAUCUAUUGGACGGACGGAUGGAUGGAUGGAUGAUGGAUGGGUGGAUGGAUGGAGGGAG
rnacentral:lncRNA from 1 species